UACGUAGGGACCAAGCGUUGUUCGGAUUUACUGGGCGUAAAGGGCGCGUAGGCGGCAAUUCAAGUCAGUUGUGAAAUCUCCGAGCUUAACUCGGAACGGUCAACUGAUACUGUUUUGCUAGAGUACAGAAGGGGCAAUCAGAAUUCUUGGUGUAGCGGUGAAAUGCGUAGAUAUCAAGAGGAACACCUGAGGUGAAGACGGGUUGCUGGGCUGAUACUGACGCUGAGGCGCGAAAGCUAGGGUAGCAAACGGG
rnacentral:rRNA from 1 species